GAUGAACGCUAGCUACAGGCUUAACACAUGCAAGUCGAGGGGUAACGAGAGGAAAGCUUGCUUUCCUUGUCGACGACCGGCGCACGGGUGAGUAACGCGUAUCCAACCUGCCCCCAACUAGGGAAUAACCUUGCGAAAGUAAGACUAAUACCCUAUAAUUUCCUCAGAUGCCAUCUGACGAGGAAUAAAGAUUUAUCGGUUGUGGAUGGAGAUGCGUCUGAUUAGCUUGUUGGCGGGGUAACGGCCCACCAAGGCAACGAUCAGUAGGGGUUCUGAGAGGAAGGUCCCCCACAUUGGAACUGAGACACGGUCCAAACGCCUACGGGAGGCAGCAGUGAGGAAUAUUGGUCAAUGGGCGGAAGCCUGAACCAGCCAAGUAGCGUGCAGGAUGACGGCCCUAUGGGUUGUAAACUGCUUUUAUACAGGAAUAAAGUUAGCCACGUGUGGUUAUUUGUAGGUACUGUAUGAAUAAGGACCGGCUAAUUCCGUGCCAGCAGCCGCAGUAA
rnacentral:rRNA from 1 species